rnacentral:lncRNA from 1 species
AACCAUGAGUGACACCUAGCAGCAUAUCAUGGUUACCCAAGCUAACCAGAAGAGGUGGAGAACCUAUUCAGUUUAGGAUUACAAUGCAAUACGAUCUUUCUCUAAUACAAUACUCUUGAUCACAUUGUUUGGAUUGAUAGUUUAUUCAUGUCUACUAUCCAAUGUGAUUUGUGUGCUUAUAUGAUUACCUUGAAUGUGAUUUGGAACGACUUCCUAAAUAUCAUUCAUACUCUGGCCAGAGAUUCUUAAUCACAUCAUAGAGUAUUCUCCCUCAAACGGUUUGAAGGUUAGAGAUCCCUUGGUGCGCAUUCACUUGCCUCCAUGGCUAAGUGGCUUAACCCCAACUAUGUCGUGGACACCCUCUGACGGGGUGACUUUGACAUAGUCAAAGAUCAAGGACCUAACCACAAGACAACUAUGAUGCCUCAGGUCAAAAGACUACUUUGCAUUAUCCCAACCAUGAGUUCUCAUGUGACAUGAAUAUGAGAACUCUUCGUUGAUCGUGUUCAGUGAAGUCAUUCUCUAUUGAGCACCUACGUACUUGUCUUGAUGUCACACACACCAAUGACUCGAGACUAGUCACUCUCCUUGAGAGAAGACACAGCACAUUCUGAUCUUAACGGAUUGUCAAUGCGCAAUUGGCAAUCCUAUGAUCAGGAACGUUUAGGAUGUGUCUACGAAAGAAUGGUCUCAUGAAUCUAACUUCUUUAGAUCGCAUCUCCCAAUCACAUAUUCCUUGGACUUAUCGUUUAAGCGUAUAACAUUUAUAUGAGACGGCUUAAAACAAUAAUCUUUGCCCUUGAUAUUAAACUAGAUUAGUUUAACAUGUGAAAUGUCCGUAAAGUAUCAUCACAUGAUUGGUUUUAGGGCACAUUUCCAACAUAUCGUACCUCCGCCCCAUCCCUCGAUGCUUGCAGUGCCCGAGUCAUCGACUUCUUCGGUGACUCAUCCAUCAGUGAGCACUCGGCAAUCUCAUCGACAGCCCUAGAGUAGCAACGACCAUGAAGAGUAUGCAUGGGGUUCCAACUCUAACGGAGAGGGAACAGAGACAAGAAAUACAUCUUUUUGUGCAAACAUUAAAUUUAUUUUUUGUUUCCUCUAUGUGUGAAUUGUUGGGUACUUAUGGUUGUGUUGUUUUAUUGUUUGCGGGUUUUAGAAAAUAUUUUUUUUUUAGAGGAAGUUCUGCCAAAUUUUCAAUAGAUUAUUUACUUUGUUUUUACGCUAACAUAUUUCAUUUUGCAGUUCCUAAAAACACUAGGGGCCCAUGCAGACUCCUGAGCAAGUGGGAUGCUCGGCAUCGGGCAUCUGAAGGGAAAAUUAUGAGAUUCUAGAAUGGGAUUUCAUAAAGACUAUCAUGCAUAUACAAAUCAAAUUUAAUAUACGAAAGCAGCGGAAGCAUUUAUAACA